UGCAACGAUGAAGAACGCAGCGAAAUGCGAUACGUAGUGUGAAUUGCAGAAUUCCGCGAAUCAUCGAGUUUUUGAACGCAAGUUGCGCCCGAGGCUUGACCAAGGGCAUCUCUGUCAGAGCGUCACCG
rnacentral:rRNA from 1 species